rnacentral:tRNA from 1 species
GCCCGGAUGGCGGAAUGGUAUACGCAACAGACUUAAAAUCUGUGGUCGAAAGACAUGUGGGUUCGAGUCCCACUCCGGGCACCA